CAUUAACUCUGGCGGCGUGCCUAAUACAUGCAAGUCGAGCGAACAGACCAGGAGCUUGCUCCUCUGACGUUAGCGGCGGACGGGAGAGUAACACGUGGAUAACCUACCUAUAAGACUGGGAUAAUUUCGGGAAACCGGAGCUAAUACCGGAUAAUAUAUUGAACAGCAUGGUUCAAUAGUGAAAGACGGUUUUGCUGUCACUUAUAGAUGGCUCCGCGCCGCAUUAGGUAGUUGGUAAGGUAACGGCUUAGCAAGGCAAGGAUGCGUAGCCGACCUGAGCGCGUGGUCGGCCACACUGGAACUGAGACACGGUCCCGACUCCUACGCGAGGCCGCAGUAGAGAAUCUUCCGCGAGGGGCGAAAGCGUGACGGUGCAACGCCGCGUGAGUCAUGAAGGAGUUCGGCUCGGAGAGCGCUGAUAUUAGGGAAGAACUAAUGUGUAAGUAGCUAUGCACGUCUUGACGGUACCUAAACAGAAAGCCACGGCUAACUACGUG
rnacentral:rRNA from 1 species